ACAAAUCAUAUAUAUACAUAUUUUCUUGAUGCCUGCAAUCCAACAGUUACACUUAAUUUUCUCUAUUUUAAUUAACACAUUUGAUUGUGAUAUUCUUAGUUGGUGAAUUAUUUGGUCAUGUACGAAAGAGGCAGCCUUGGGCUGAUCCGAAGAUUGUCAAGCAACUCGUAGAUGCAAACUUAUAUGCAUUACUUGGGGAAAGAACUGCAGCAGAUGAUGAAAAGCCUAUUAAAAAGAAGAAGGAGAAGCCUGUUAAGGUUGAGGAAUGCACUACUGCUGUAGAUACUCCGCCAAAACCAUCUGAAGAAGAACUCAACCCCUAUUUAAUAUUCCCUUCACCAGAGGAAAACUAUAAGGUACAUACUGAAAUAUUUUUCAGUGACCGCCCUGUGCUGAGACCUUGCAAUACGAGGGAAAUGCUCGAAAAACAUCUGAAGGCAACAGGGGGGAAAGUAUUUACACGCUUUCCGCCAGAACCAAAUGGGUAUCUACAUAUUGGUCAUGCCAAGGCUAUGUUUAUUAAUUUUGGUUUGGCAAAAGAAAGAGGUGGAUGUUGCUAUCUAAGGUGAGGAUGCA